rnacentral:lncRNA from 1 species
UCCAUCCCAGUCCUGCUUUAUUUGGGAUUCCUGAGUUCAUUUUUGGUUUAUUUGGGAUUCCUGGCUCCACCCCAGUCCUGUUUUAUUUGGGAUUCCUGAGUCCAUCCCUNNNUUAUUUGGGAUUCCUGGCUCCAUCCCUGCUUUAUUUGGGAUAAUAAAACGGAUCCAUCCCUCACUGCCCACUGGCAUUUCCCUGUUCUCGCAGCUCCAGGCAGGGAAUUCUCUCUGAAAUAAAAAUCCCUGCAGUGCCCAGCUCUGGGCAAUGUUUGGGAUCUGGUUUGGGAUCUGGGGAGGUUUUAUCCAUCCCUGAUCCAUCCCCACCCGCUCUGGGGAGGGUUUGGGAUCAGGUUUAGGAUCUGCUGGGGUUUAUCCAUCCCCACCAGCUCUGGGCAGUGUUUGGGAUCAGGUUUGGGAUCAGGUUUAGGGUCUGAUGAAGUUUUAUCCAUCCCCACCAGCCCUAGGGGAUGUUUAGGAUCAGGUUUGGGAUCUGAUUUAGGAUCUGCUGGGGUUCAUCCAUCCUCACCUGCUCUGGGGAAGGUUUGGGAUCAGGUUUGGGAUCUGCUGGGGUUUCUCCAUCCCUUAUCCAUCCCCACCAGCUCUGGGCAAUGUUUGGGAUCAGGUUUAGGAUCAGGUUUAGGAUCUGCUGGGGUUUCUCCAUCCCCACAGCUCUGGGUCCUUCCCUGGUGCCCAGGGGUGAAGGUGCCAACGCUCAGAGCCUGGCAGGAAAAUUCCCCUUGAAUGUGGGGCAGGAUCAGAUCCCUCCUCCCCCCCUUUCCCAAACCCACAGCACUCCCUGACCAUAAUUCUCAUUUUUCCCGUUGUUAUCCCAGAACUCCAGCAGGAUUUAACCCUUUAAUGGACAUUUGUGGGUUUUAUCCCAUUCCCACUCCACGAGCUCUGGGAUUUGUGGCCUGGGGGGGACGAGGGGCUGGACCAGGGGUGGAUUUGGGAUUCUGCUGUACCCAGGAUUGGGAAUUCUGUCUCAGCUGAGCCCUGGCUGUGAGUGGAGCCUCCCCUCUGCACUAAUUUGGGAUUUUUGGUUGUACAAACCCCAUUAAAACGUGGAGAACUUUUCCAACUCGGCUUCCUGGGUCAUUUUUUUGGGGCUGGUGCUGGGACAGAGCCCCCCAAGCUCUGGAGCUCUGGGGUUGUUCCCUUUUCCCAACCUGGGAAUGAAACUCGAGAUCAUUUUAGGCCUGACUUCAAAUAAAAAUGGAUUUUACUUCA